rnacentral:rRNA from 1 species
AAUAGAUACCCGGGUAGUCCACGCUGUAAACGAUGUCAACUAGCUGUUGGUUAUAUGAAUAUAAUUAGUGGCGCAGCAAACGCGAUAAGUUGACCGCCUGGGGAGUACGGUCGCAAGAUUAAAACUCAAAGGAAUUGACGGGGGGCCCGCACAGGCGGUGGAGCAUGUGGUUUAAUUCGAUGCAACGCGAAGAACCUUACCUACCCUUGACAUACAGUGAAGCUUGCAGAGAUGCGAGUGUGCCUUCGGGAACACUGGUACAGGUGCUGCAUGGCUGUCGUCAGCUCGUGUCGUGAGAUGUUGGGUUAAGUCCCGUAACGAGCGCAACCCUUGUUCUUAGUUGCCAGCGCGUAGAGGCGGGAACUCUAAGGAGACUGCCGGUGACAAACCGGAGGAAGGCGGGGACGACGUCAAGUCAUCAUGGCCCUUACGGGUAGGGCUACACACAUGCUACAAUGGCCAAUACAGAGGGUGGCGAAGGGGCGACCUGGAGCAAAUCUUAUAAAGUCGGUCGUAGUCCGGAUUGGAGU